UCUCCCUAAAUCCUCCAAGUCACACCCUUCCCUCCCUGCUUUAGUUUUCUAGUGAGUUCAUUCACCUCCUAGAUUUGCCACUCUGGACCUCCUGCUGAUCUUUCUAGCCAGAUUUGGUUCCCCAAAUAAGAGAGCAUUUCCCCCCCCCACUCUCUUGGGGGCUACAUAUCCUUUAGCAUGGCGAACCCAAGAGCAAGGGAAGGUGGAAAGCAGCUGUGGAAUGAAAUAGAACCCAAAAUGUGCGAGCCAAAAUGGAAUGGCACCAAAUUUGGUGUGGUGCAAGAAGCCUGCAAAUGAAAAGUGGAGGUUUAAAAAAAAGGACUGUAUCCAAUGGGAACGCUAGAGAAAAGAUUUUUGUACAAACCUGAAGAAAAGGUUUCAUUACUUCAAGGAAUAUAGUCAGUAAUGUUAAUCUGAGUAAUGAUGCAGCAAUAAUUUUAUUUCAGGCUUCUGAAGAAAUCUGGAAAAAAAAUGGCCUACUGAAAUGAAUAGCAGGAAACUGCUGCACUUACACAGCGUUUUUUCUGAAUCAUUUUCGAGGAACAGUAUCCUUGCUUGAAGUGCUCUCUAAUGUGUAUUUGUGAAAGAUACUGAAAUAGCAGAGAUUGUCUAUGCUAUCCACUCUAAGAGACUUUAAAGGAAAGCAGAUUUUUCCGCCUCUCCCAUAUUAUUAUUAUCACUUCCACCCUACAGUCACAAUUCCUCAUGGUUUCAGCAGUCCCCAGGAAUUAACAAAAGCUUUGUGAAUUAAAAGUGCCUCCCUUGUUGCUGGAGGGUUGACAUAAUGGACAGAUGGAAGUUUGACAGCUGAGCUGUGGUGGAAAUAGCACAUAAACUUUAAAAAAAUGAUCGGCUGUCUCUCUUUCAAGUGCUUUGUCAUCUAUUUCCUUCCUGCCUGUUUCUUUGAUUUCAUCACCAAAAGGUUUCACAUCCCUGUUUCUUUCUACAACUUUUCAUUUUAUCUCUCUCUUUUAAAAAAAAAAUCUGUUUUAUAUAUUACUGGUAAAUUCCUGUCACCAU